rnacentral:rRNA from 1 species
UACGGAGGGUGCAAGCGUUAUCCGGAUUCACUGGGUUUGAAGGGUGCGUAGGUGGUCUGUUAAGUCAGCGGUGAAAGCCUGGAGCUCAACUCCAGAAUUGCCAUUGAUACUGACGGACUUGAAUCAAGUUGAGGUGGAUGGAAUAUUACACGUAGCGGUGAAAUGCUUAGAUAUGUAAUAGAACACCAAUUGCGAAGGCAGUUCACUAAGCU